UACGAGCGGCCCAAACGUUAUUCGGAAUUACUGGGCUUAAAGAGUUCGUAGGCGGCGCAGAAAGUAGGGUGUGAAAGCCCUCGGCUUAACCGAGGAAUUGCGCUCUAAACUACUGUGCUUGAGGAACCUAGAGGUGAGCAGAACUGAUGGUGGAGCGGUGAAAUGCGUUGAUAUCAUCAGGAAUACCGGAGGCGAAGGCGGCUCACUGGGGGUUUUCUGACGCUGAGGAACGAAAGCCAGGGGAGCGAACGGG
rnacentral:rRNA from 1 species